GGUAAAAAUGUUAACAAUAGACAAAGCUCACACUUAAAAUAUUAGAAGGAAGAUUGUCAGCAAAGACCAUCAUAGCAAGUAUUACAGUUUCAAGGUGGAUCUUACACCAUCGUGCUUACUCAUUCAAGAACGAAAAAUUCCUACAGCCUACGCAGCCCAUCAUCGAAUCCAAAAACCAAUGAACACCCACAAAGUAUCAUCGAACCGUUAUGCUUCAAAACUACAGAAACACUUAAGAGGAGGGUUCUAAGGACUCACUACCAGCACUCUUUUCUGGCUGAGAACGUCCCUUUACUGAGGCAAAUCAGAAACAUUGACUUUCUAUGAAGCAGAAACACUUAAGAGGAGGGUUCUAAGGACUCACUACCAGGACCAUUUUCUUCAAAGGAAUCAGAAACAUUGACUUUCUAUGAAGCAGGAACUCUGGGAGCAGGCACAUCAGCGACAGGAACUCUGGGAGCAGGCACAUCAGCAACAGGAACUCUGGGAGCAGGCACAUCAGUAACAGGAACUGGAACUGGAACUAUUGGAGCUGGCACAUCAGGAAUAGGAACUCUGGGAGCAGGCACAUCAGCAACAGGAACUCUGGGAGCAGGCACAUCAGCAACAGGAACUCUGGGAGCAGGCACAUCAGCAAGAGGAACUCUGGGAGCAGGCACAUCAGUAACAGGAACUGGAACUGUCGGAGCAGGCACAUCAGGAAUAGGAGUUGUGGCAGCUGGCACAUCAGGAACAGAAACUGUGGGAGCAGGCAGAACAACUGUGGGAGCUGGCACAUCAGGAAUAGGAACUGGAGCAGACAGAACAGGAACUGAGGGAGGAACAGUAACUGUGGGUGCAGGUGGAACAGGAGGCACUGGGAGAUCGAUGUCAGGAAACAGCUCAGUGUAUUUUGCCAGCCUCUGUUGACACAAGUCAAUGGACUCACCGUGUGCGACAUGCGCGAUACGGUACAACUGGACAGGAGUGAAUUUAAUCAUAACCAUUACCAGGACCACGCAAGGGUAAAAAUCCUUAAGCUGCAAGCAAAAACUAUAAAGUGCUCUGGCAAGCCAUAACAGCCAUCGUGGAAGCACUGCCAAGAUCCGAUCCCAAAAGAAAUGAAUCCAGAGCUUUUCACCAGCAAUUCUUUUCCUCUAUUUAUCAUGGGCAGUCUUGAGAUCAUAAACCGCUCUAGAAAUGUAUCUCAAGCGAGCAACAGCCAAAGAUAGAUGAUGCAGGUCAUGCCCAGCCGCCAAUCUCUCCCAUGCUUCAAUUCUGAGCUGAGUAUCUUUUGCUUCGGUCUUUUCUUGCGUAAUGUCAGCCAUAUCUUCAACUUGAUUUUCUGUGGAUGGAAUCUGCAUCAUAUGCUAACAAUUCAUGAGUACAAUAUUAACAACUGUAGCGAAUCCUACAGACCAACUAAGGUGGUCAAAGUAAUGCAUAUCAAAAUACCAAAGAUACGGCGCUACUUCAGCCGCAAAAUAGCGAGAAUCUCUUCAAAACAGGACAUCCAAAACAUCAAAGAUGAUAGUAUGCACCAAGUUUAACAGGAAAAAUUAUAGAACAGAUAUAACCUUCAAUAUAUCCAGUAAACAACAGUAAGAACCAGUAAACACAACAAAACGGUUAGCCACUUCCAACUAUGUCCAACAAUUUGAAGAAUUAUCAUCGUCAGAGGAAGCAAAUUACGUCAUCUUAACCAGAUUAAGUUAGCAAAACACACACUGGACCAAAACACUAAAUCCCUCCCUCUCUCCCCCUCUGUCUCACUCUCUCGACAUGACAGUAACAUAAAUCAAGCUACUUCAGCCACAAAAUUAGUGAAACGUACAGACCAUCAAACUAACACAAAUCCUACAGACAAUAAUACAAACACAAUAUACAGAAGCACGCACACACAAGUAACAUUGCCAGCAUCACUUUAAAACAGGACAUCCAAAACAUCAAAGAAGAUAGUAUGCAACAAGUUAAAUAUUGUAACUGAGAUAACCAUCAAUAUACCCAAUAAACAACUGUAAGAACCAGUAUACACAACAAAAUGGUUAUGCCACUUCAACUACUUCCAACCAUUUGAAGAUCUAUUAUCUUCAGGGCAAUCAAAUUCAUUUUCCUUCACCUUAACGAGAUUAAGUUAGCAAAACACACACUGGACGAAAACAUUUAAUCUCCAUGACAACAACCAAAGACUAGUCAUGCAACUAAGGUGGUCAAAGUGAAGCAUAUCAAAAUAACAGAGAUACUGCUACUUCAGCUGCUAAAUAGCGAAUCCUACAGACCAACUAAGGUGGUCAAAGUGAUGCGUAUCAAAAUACCAGAGAUACUGCUACUUCAGCAGCAAAAUAGCGAAUCCUACAGACCAUCAUACUAACUCAAUACACAGAAGCCAGGCACUCACACAAGUAACAUAGCGAGCAUCUCCUCAAAACAGGACAUCCAAAACAUCAAUGAUGAUAGCAUGCACCAAGUUUAACAGGAAAAAUUAUAGAACAGAUAUAACCUUCAAUAUAUCCAGUAAACAACAGUAAGAACCAGCAAACACAACAAAACGGUUAGCCAAUUCAACUAUUUCCAACAAUUAGAAGAAUUAUCAUCUUCAGAGGAAGCAAAUUACGUCAUCUUAACCAGAUUAAGUUAGCAAAACACACUGGACCAAAACACUUAAUCUCCAUAACACAAACCGAAGACUAGUUAUGCAACUAAUGUGGUCAAAGUGAUGCAUUUCAAGGCACUGAAUAGUAAAACUGAACUGAUUACUAAUCAAGCAUGUCAUAGUAAUCCCACCAAUUGAGAGUUCAGAGGGCAAAUAGAACAAACAGAACUGUGGUUACCUGCACAUCAACAGGCUCCAAUUCUCCAGGGCUUGAGAUCAUAUCUCCUUCUGCAGAUUUGGUUUCCAAUUCUGAUUGCAUUGCGGAAAGCUCCCUUGAAACAGCAUUUGUCAGCCUGAAAUUCGGUAGGUUUACUGCUAUCAGAAGAAGAACAGAGUAAUUUCGACAAA
rnacentral:lncRNA from 1 species